UGAUUGUAAACAUAGUGCAGUUUGAGCAGAAGAUCCCAAGAUUUGACUGAGAGAACAUUCAAAUUAUAGUGUGGAAAGAUCUCUUCGUAAACGCUGUUCAGGGAAUAUAAAGGACUUUUGUUUAAAAUUUCUCAGUGGCUGGAUCUUGGAAUAUAUGUGUGUAUUUUUGACUCAUGACCUAUUUUUUGAUUAAUGAAGUGAAAAAUACUUUCCUCGAUAGGAUCAGAAUAAGCGUGCAGUCUUCUGCUGGAAAGAAAUGGAAUAAAUGGUCAUUUUGAAUUUUUAAAAAAAUGUUUGAAUCUCUG
rnacentral:lncRNA from 1 species